CCUGGCUGAAAUUCCACCUUAUCUGUGGUCUGUUUUAUCUGUGGUCUGUUGUGCUAACCCAUUUGGCCUAGUAAUGUAUUACAGUAACCACAGGUCUGAUAUCCCUUCAACAGUGGCGUAACUGACUGAAAAUGUCACCACAGUCAUAAUUAAAAAAAUAAAAUACAAAUAAAAGAUCGAAUAUGGAAAUUAUUAUCUUUCUAAAUGCAGAAAGAUGAGGUUUGUUUAUUGUUGAUCGUUUUAUGUGUGACUGUUUAUGUGUGUAUCUGUUUGCUUAUACGGACAUAUCCCUGAAAACCAUGCAGUGACCCUGGAACUAAAGUGAGAGAGAAGGAUCUCAAUGUAAAUAUGUAUCAUAUUCUGUUGUUGGUUUUCCAUGUUUCAUUGUGGAGCUUGGGUUUGGACUAAACUUUCUAAAAGCAGUACCGUCUUUUAUUUUAUUCACAUCACGACAAAUAGCGGUACGAAAUGUACUUAUUACACAUUAAUAUAGGAACCCAAACUGUAAGACCAUCCCUAAUGUUUGAGUGUAGACCUCUCCCACUGCAUUCGAACACCUCUGUGGAACAGGUGUCAAUGUGCUUGCUUUGGAGAUGGAAGGAUGGAUCUCUCUAAGGGAACAAGAGCACAUUACUGACCCCUAUUGGUGGAAAUGGAUCACUGCUUUUUGAAAGUGCAACUGUCUAAAACCCAAGCAUUUAGUUAACAAUAUAUUUUAGACAGGUAUGUUACAACACAAGGACCUUACUAAGCAAUAUCUUUUAGACAGGUAUGUUACAACACAAGGAGCUUAUUAAGCAAUAUCUUUUAUUUUGACCAAGCCAAUUGACUUCCAUAAUUUGAAAUAAAUGUUUUUAAAGAA